UAGUCGUGACUGAGAGGUCGAUCGACCACAUUGGGUCUGAAAAAACCCCAAUGCGUAUUAGUACAGCAGUGAGGAAUAUUGGUCAAUGGCCGAAAGGCUGAACCAGUAACUUGGAAGAAUGUAAGUGUAUUAUUGUAAUACAAUAACGAUUAACUCGUAUAAAAUUCUAAAUAGGAUAAUGAUAAUGACAAUUUCCUAUUUAUAAGUCUUGACCAAAUUACGUGCCAGCAGUCGCGGUAAUACGUAGAAGACUAGUGUUAGUCAUCUUUAUUAGGUUUAAAGGGUACCUAGACGGUAAAUUAAACUCUAAAUGAGUACUUUUUUACUAGAGUUUUAUGUGAGAAGGAAGAAUUUCUGGAGUAGGGAUGAAAUACUAUACCAGAAGGACUGGUAACGGCGAAGGCAUCCUUCUAUGUAAAAACUGACGUUGAGGGACGAAGGCUUGGGUAGCAAUAAGGAUUAGAUACCCUAGUAGUCCAAGCAGAAAAUGAUGAAUGUCAUAGGCUAGAUUUAAAAUUUAGUCUAUAAAUGAAAGUGUAAGCAUUCCACCUCAAGAGUAAUA
rnacentral:rRNA from 1 species